rnacentral:tRNA from 1 species
AUUUUAAUAGCUUAUAUUUAGAGCGUGAUAGUGAAGUUAUCAAGGAAUUUUUUUAAAGUUUAAAAUA